rnacentral:lncRNA from 1 species
GUACUCUUCUGAAGAGUUCAACUGCUUUUAAGGGCAUCUCUAAUGGUUCACCAAAUUUGAUGGGCCACCUCAGUAGAUUUGGUACCUAAUUGAUGGACCAUUUGAUGAAAAAAACUUCAGUUUCUAAUGGUUCACCAAAUUGAGGCGGGUAAUGAAGUGUCGCUUGAAUUGGACGGGCUUUGCAGAGCCACUUAAACUAAAAGUUUUAGUUGAGGCGGGCAAUGAAGUGCCACUUAACCCAACAGUUAGUUGAGGCGGACAAUGACGUGCCACUUUAAAUAAAAGCUAAGUAAGAUAUCGGUUGAGGCGGGCAUCCAAGUGCCACUUAAUUGAAGUGGGCUUUGGAGUGCCACUUGAAGCGGCACAUCAUUACCCGCUUUAAGUGAAUCAGCCUUCUCUUGUCGGCCUCAACCCAAUAUCAAAUUUGAUGUUUUCUAUCAAAAUUUCAUCAAAUUUGAUGAAUUUUUGAUGAUUUUUGGUGAAAUAUCAAAUUUGAUGAACUUUUGAUGAUCCAUGAAGAAAGUUUUGGUGGUAGAUUUGAUGAAUCAUUAGAUACCAUAAGCUUAGCCAUCCAAAUGUGUCAAAUGCAACUAAUGAGUAUUUAAGCCCAAACUAAAGGUCUCUCCGUUUGUGGGAUGUUUUGACUUUUCGUUACGAAAUCGCGAUCUAUUGGAAUCCGGGUUUUUGCCAAGGGUGAAAAUAACAUUAUUUCUCAAUCUCAAGAGCUCACAUCACGCUGAUCGAGCAAUUCCCUCCCUCCCUCAUAAUCUCACUCAUUCCCACAUACUUGUUGGAAAAGAAGAGAGAAAGAGAGAGAGAUCUCCAAGACUCCAAACGAAAUUUGUUCAAGAUUUUGCAAUAAUAAGCCAUUCAUAAACCCUAAAUCUCAACAUUCUCUCUCUUGAAAUCUAGGAACCAAGAGGUUUCAACAUUCAAAGUGGCAUAGAUUGAAUUGAAAACUCUUCAAUUGCAUAAGGUAAUUAAAGAAAACCAACCAUAUUCUCUCAAUUUAAAGUUAUAGAUCUUGAUAUUGUAGAUUUGUGCUUUUGCUUUUUCAGAUUUUUAGAUAAUGGGGUUUCAAUAGAAAGCUGGAUUUAGAAACCUUGGGUAUUGAGAAAAUGUGAUAGUUAGUUAUUAGAGUUUAAAAUAUAUUGAUAGGAUUUGAUGAGGAACACAAAUACUUAGUUAAGAAGUGAUUACACAAUGAAGGUUGUAAGAACCAUUGUUGCCAACACAAUUGAAGUCAUACUAUUAGGUUUGGGAUAAACAGUUGCAUAAGUAAGGAGAGUAUGGAAAUGAUAUUGUUUAGAAUAUAUGAACUUUGCAAUGAUUCCUAGAUAGUAUUCAUUGACAUGUUAUCAAUAUGUAGAGAAAAAAAAAGGAGUCUGAGGUGAUUAUGAUAUCUUUUAUAGAUUAACUUGCACUAGUAUUUUUUUCUAUAAUUUUUUUUUUUUAUGGUUUUAAUAAUGAACCCCUAUACAGAAGUCGUACUGUGUGGAUCGGCAAUUGCUGUGGUACAACAAAUGUUGAUAGAUCAACAAAAUUCUUGAAGCUGUUGAAGAGAAACGGAAUCUAGAG